CUGGCCGUGAGAACAGCAGAAAACCUGGGACACACACUGGCCAGAGUGUCUGGAAGGAGGGGGUGCUGAGGGCUGCAGACUUACAAAGCCACAAAUGGAGCCCCUGGCCUUGCUCUGACUGGGGCAGCCGGGCUGGAAGGGAGCGUCAGCUGCCCAGCCACGCUCCCCCUGUCCCCCCCAGCCCAGGUCUCCUGAAUGCACACAGAAGGCCAAGGCAUCCUAGACCGGUGGUGAGGGAAUGGAGACACAGAGAGGAGACACGCAGGGGUUCCAGCUGCUUGGAGCCCCCGGAAACACCGGCGAGAAAGAAAACAGCGAAUGUCCCCAUUAAAAGUGGCUUUGGAAGUGAGGGCUGGCCCACUUCCCUCAGGAUCACCUGUGCAGUUUGCCUCCGUGACCGAGUGUCCUGUUUGGACGGGACAGAAGCAGAAGCCAGGGCCUCGCCAUGCCGGCUCCUUCGGCGCCACCCGGUGGCGUCGGGGCGGAACAUCUCGCGCGUUCACGGGGCCGCGGUGAAACAGCCCUUUGUCUUAGGAGGGUGCUCUUCCUGCUAAAGCAAGUCGGGCGUUGCAACCCCGAGAGGAGCAAUCCUGAGAAACAAAGCCCUGGUUUUUUUAUAGCAACAGUGGAAACCAGACCUCACUUCCUUCCUCCAGGAUGAGGGACUCAUUGACCCUGGGGGUUGGGGAGGGGCGUCUUGCUCCAGGGUUCAGGGGCAGGCAGCCACCCCAGCCCAGGCGGUGUGGGAGGAGAGAUACUGAAGCUCUCCCAGGAGCUUGCUGGAGCUUUUCCCACCGGGGCCACCAAGCUGUCACAAAGGACUCUCUUACAGGUGUUUCUUUCCCUUUCCUUUUCUUCCUAAGUUUCUUUGUUUUGUUUUUACUAACUCGGAGACUGAUUUUCCCUUCCCUGCAUGGUUGAGAGUGAGUUUGGUGGCUUGUAAUGAGUGACACGUCAACUGUCCUGUGCCCUCCUGUUGAGGAAACCGUGUCCCCUUUGCCACCAAGGAACUUUGCCUCUUAGCUGCGGUGCCCAAGUAAAUCAAUACAGCUGGUGCCAUAUGAUGAAUUCAGUUUCCCCGAGAGGAAUUCAGGAGAGACUUUGACUCUUUAGUUACAACUUUAAUCACUUAAACUUAUCAAUUAAAACUAAACUCUUUAAUACACGAAUUCUCUGAUUCUCCGCAGUUAGUUUUGUCUUAUUUCUACAGGGUUAGAUUACAAACUGAAAACAGCAUAAGACACAAAAGCUACACAACUGUGGGAGAAUGGCAGGCUUCUGCUUCAGAGCCAGUUCCCUCUAGAAAACCCAAAGGAGAAGAACCCUGCCACCCUCUGCCAGGCCAGCUGGACCCUAGGCUGCGCCCAGAGUUCCCUCCCACCCAAAACACUGCCCAUUGGGCAACGCAGGCAGCUGCAGCUCCAUAGUCCAGGCAUCCUCCAGACAGAAGCGCCCCCAAGAUCCGAUGCCAGCCCACAACCACCGGUCCGAGAGCCCGUCUUUUAUUUCCAAAUUCUCACCCAUAAUUCCGUGCACUCUGGAGUCGUUCGGCUUCUCAGCCACUCCUGUCCUAGACUCUGUACUGUUGCCUGGGCAAACUCCUACCUCCGCCCCCUUCUGUUCCCCAGCGAUCUGAUCAGAUUUCUCUGUAUUGUUUUGAGCUGAAGGCAACUGAGAAUGGAUGGAUGUAGGAAGAGCUCUCUGCCCACCCCCCUUACCUUCUACAAGCAGGGCACGAUGUCCCCCUCUCUGGUUCCAGGAUGGAGAGAGCAGCCCAACUCACAGGAGGUGCUGGGGCCGCGGGGAGAGGAGCCGCAAACCUCACGAGAAACCACAAUUUAUGUUCCUCUGUCAAAGUGGUACAUAAGCCCCCGUGUCUAAUCACUUCUUUGGGGUUUUUACUUCUUUUUCUGCAAGGCCAGGUGCACAUAAAUUUAAAAUAUUUUUAGGUUGCAUUUCUUUUCUCUUGUGAACCUGUCUUUUGGUCGUUAAAUUCACAGGGUCCUGUUACAGGCUCUAAGAGGAGAGAGGAAAAGGCAUUUUCUUCCCUCCCCUACCCCUCAAAGUCAAGUUCUCUGAGUUCCUUCCUCUUCCCCAGGGACCUUGGGUGGGGGGGGGUGAUGGGACCUUGGGUGGGGGGCUUGCACUUCUUACAUGCAGG